rnacentral:rRNA from 1 species
UGCAGUCGAGCGGAUGACAGGAGCUUGCUCCUGAAUUCAGCGGCGGACGGGUGAGUAAUGCCUAGGAAUCUGCCUGGUAGUGGGGGACAACGUUUCGAAAGGAACGCUAAUACCGCAUACGUCCUACGGGAGAAAGCAGGGGACCUUCGGGCCUUGCGCUAUCAGAUGAGCCUAGGUCGGAUUAGCUAGUUGGUGAGGUAAUGGCUCACCAAGGCGACGAUCCGUAACUGGUCUGAGAGGAUGAUCAGUCACACUGGAACUGAGACACGGUCCAGACUCCUACGGGAGGCAGCAGUGGGGAAUAUUGGACAAUGGGCGAAAGCCUGAUCCAGCCAUGCCGCGUGUGUGAAGAAGGUCUUCGGAUUGUAAAGCACUUUAAGUUGGGAGGAAGGGCAUUAACCUAAUACGUUAGUGUUUUGACGUUACCGACAGAAUAAGCACCGGCUAACUCUG